UACCAGAGAGAAUAACUGUCGAACUAGGCUGUCUUCUUAAAUUAAGAAGUGACUUAUGCUAAUCUUUUUUCCGGUACACGUCAUGGUUUCAUACGCACUUAAGACGAUGAUGGGAGAACAGAAUUAUUUCUCUGAACAGAUAUAAAACGUCUAUCAGGAGCUGUUUUCCUUGUUCUCUGUGCACGAAUUGUAGGUGUUCGAAUAUUACUACCCCAAGAAAGACAAGAAUGUUCUUCAGUCUCUUUAUUGGGUCAUUGCUGUGGAAGACCAUUCCGUGCGAGUACAGAGAGUAUGACUGCACGCUUCCAGAUGGCACUCUUCUAAGCAACGGAACAGUGAAGAACUCCAGUGAUCCCUGUGUGGAGUACACAUGUCAAUAUGGAAGCUACUGGACAGAAGGAUGCCCAGUCAACAAUGAUCCUUUAUGUCGCAAGAAUCCCGGUGCACUUGGCCCGUAUCCUGACUGCUGCCCAGUUUAUGCUUGUUCAUGAAGCUAAGUUUACAGAAGAAUUCGAGGAUCUAUGACCACAGAGUGAAGAUUGGUUCAAAAUGAAUGAAGGAAACAUAGCAAAAUAAACACGU